ACUUCAGGACGGGGACAACAGUUGGAAACGACUGCUAAUACCCGAUGUGCCGCAAGGUGAAACCUAAUUGGCCUGGAGAAGAGCUUGCGUCUGAUUAGCUAGUUGGUGGGGUAAAGGCCUACCAAGGCGACGAUCAGUAGCUGGUCUGAGAGGAUGAGCAGCCACACUGGGACUGAGACACGGCCCAGACUCCUACGGGAGGCAGCAGUGGGGAAUUUUCCGCAAUGGGCGAAAGCCUGACGGAGCAACGCCGCGUGAGGGAGGAAGGUCUUUGGAUUGUAAACCUCUUUUCUCAAGGAAGAAGUUCUGACGGUACUUGAGGAAUCAGCCUCGGCUAACUCCGUGCCAGCAGCCGCGGUAAUACGGGGGAGGCAAGCGUUAUCCGGAAUUAUUGGGCGUAAAGCGUCCGCAGGUGGUCAGCCAAGUCUGCCGUCAAAUCAGGUUGCUUAACGACCUA
rnacentral:rRNA from 2 species